GUGGGGAAUUUUGGACAAUGGGCGAAAGCCUGAUCCAGCCAUGCCGCGUGUCUGAAGAAGGCCUUCGGGUUGUAAAGGACUUUUGUCAGGGAGCAAAACUUACUGGUUAAUACCCGGUGAGGCUGAGAGUACCUGAAGAAUAAGCACCGGCUAACUACGUGCCAGCAGCCGCGGUAAUACGUAGGGUGCAAGCGUUAAUCGGAAUUACUGGGCGUAAAGCGUGCGCAGGCGGACUUUUAAGCCAGAUGUGAAAGCCCCGAGCUUAACUUGGGAAUUGCGUUUGGAACUGGGAGUCUAGAGUCUGUCAGAGGGGGAUGGAAUUCCACGUGUAGCAGUGAAAUGCGUAGAGAUGUGGAGGAACACCGAUGGCGAAGGCAGUCCCCUGGGAUAAGACUGACGCUCAUGCACGAAAGCGUGGGGAGCAAACAGGAUUAGAAACCCCUGUAGUCC
rnacentral:rRNA from 1 species